CUCCCCACCUGAAAUAUCAAGCAUCAGCUGGGCCAAGAAUUACACUCAAAGUAACACAAUGGAUGCGACUGCCCUACCUUUGAGCUGCUGGUAGAAGGGAUUUAUACAAAUUCCUUUAUUCAUUCAUUUAUUCAUCUACAGACAAGCAUUUACGGAGAACCUAUGUAUGCCAGGGCUGAAAAGGAUGCUUGAAGUCCAAAGGAAAAUAAAUAAUAUUCUUACAGCUAAAGCGGUGAUUCUAGCAUGUGGUGUUAAAUCGAAUCAGAAGAUCCCACAUGUAUCAUCAAAACAUCACCUUUCAUUCCCUCUAUCACCAAGACCUGGCAUUCCUCUCCACCUCCUAUCUAUUUGUGUCUGAAUAUGCUGCCAUUUUUGGUGGGUAAAUCUAUAAGAAAUAGACUGGACUGUAAGUAAUGGACAGAUCAAAGAGACCCACAUUUAUUUCCUGGCUCUGAAAUGAAAUGUUGAAAGAUCUUGAACACGUUCCUUAUCUUAUUUGGAUCUUUGAUUUCUCAUCUGUAGAUGAGGGACUAGGUCACUCAUACCUAUACACAGAAAAUGAAGGUAAGGAUGCUUGGCUGAAUUGGGGAGGGGGAAGGAAAGGGUUUAAGAACCCCAGAGCCUCCCGCUUUCCCCAUCCUUUCCUUUUCACAAAGAAAAAAUUCACAGACCCUGUGGAUCAGAGCAUCAUGAAAAGGAUGGAAAAUAUAUUUGGAAUGUACUUUUAGGGAAAGAAAUUGGAUAAAGUCAUUCACAGCUGUGUCCUCCUCUUUGACUGUGCUAAGCCUUUGUGCCAAGCAAGGCCAAGCAGCUGCAUCACUGAGAGAUGAGCCCCUGUGUCUGCUGGACCCAGGAGAAGGUGCCUUUCCUCCUCAGAAUGGGAGAGUGUGGAAUACUCCAGGAGUGUUUCCCACUUGUCACAAGUGGGGACCACGGUGGUGCAGACCUUUCUGGUUCAGAUAAUGAUUUGAGUCGGUUUUUUGAAUCCACUCUUGACCAAGCUGGGGAGAUGGGUUUCUAGCAGAAAUCAAGCCAUGGUGCAAAGAGAGUAAAAAUCUUACCAUUGGAACACCCACUGAAAGACACCCCCAUCCCUAAGGAAGAAUCUCCAACUCUGCGCACAUCUUUCUCUGCCUUGAGUCCAAGCGUGGGAGGCCAGACAGGACAGGUGGGGGAGGCUGUUGCUUAUUUUGUUACUGACCUUUUGAUCAAAAAACCAAUAAGGAGACAUCUCUACUUCUAAAACAGGCCCUCUUGACACUUUCUGACACAGGUGGGAAGGUGGAUUUGCAUAAGCUCUUAGGAAGGUGGAUUUGUACAAACUCUUAGGAAAGUAAUUCAGCAAUGCAUAUCAACUUCCCCAUCAGUCUCAUCUGCAACAAUCUACCCUAUAGAAACAGAAGUAAUGCUGCAUAAAAAUAUAUGUAUUGCCAUGGGUGUGGCCAAAAAAAUACACGUAAGCACAUUUUUAUUGCAGAGUUGGAGGGAAAUAAAAAUAACAAAUAACCUGAAUCUCCAUCAAUAGAGAAAUGGUUGAAUAGAUUAGUCUAUGUCAUAAACAGAUAAAUGAAUAAAUAAAUGAAUAAAUAAAUAAAUAAAUAAAUAAAACAGGCCCUCUCUGGGGAGUUCUUUUGUGGCACAGUGGAUUAAGGAUCCCGUGCUGUCACAGCAUCAGCUUGGUUUGCUGCUGUGGCGCAGGUUUGAUCCCUGGCCCAGGGCAUAGCCAAAAAUCCCUCAGGAUUAGGCCUUCUCUAACCCUGAGUAUCAGUUUCCUGUUCUAGGUGGGGUUUUCUGGAGGAAGAUGCAGAGACACCAUUAGGGUACAAGAUUUUAAAUUGAAACCAAGAGCUAAAAAGGAAGGAGAAAGAACAGGACUGGGUAGAGGGAAAAUUUAAACUGUGAGGGUCCCAGUAAAGUCUAUCCACCCUGGCUCUAGAAUAAAUUUUGUCUGUUCAGGUGGUUCUGCACUGGGUUCAAUGGCCUGGUCUUUAUAGGCCUGUUUGCAUGCUCCUUUCUAGAUGAUGCUGCCAGGAAGAGCAUAACCUGACAAGGUGGUCUCUGCAGCUUAGGCAGCAGCUGACAGCUGGAGUUUGCCUGCUGACCUCACUCCACGCAGCCAGGGAGCACAUCCUUCCAUAAAGGAAUAUUUAAGUUGGCCGCCACUAGAUGCAAGCUGAAAUUGAUGGCACAGAUGGAGGGUGAGAGGAGGGCAGGGAAGGUGCAAUUUACAAGAGUGCUACACUAUUCCUUGUAAAUUGUACUAAACCUCACCCAUACCCUUCCAGGACAAAGGAAGGUGGCAGUUCGCAUAACCUAGAGAGAGAAUUGUAGCAGUGGCUGUAACUACAGGAGUGAGCUGGGGCCUUCGGUACAGGAACACAGCAAGUGUCAACCUGUAGCCUGGGGAGGAGGGAGAUGGAGAAAUAAAGGUUCUGACCUUUUUCUCCUACUUUCCUUUGCUCCGCUUGUGUCUAUCAGUCGGGAAACCCAACAGAAGCCAGAGAGCAAACAAUGUCAGUGGAUACAGUUUCCCUGCUGGAGAGCAGGCAGUGGGGGAGGGGGUGGAUGGGGCGGUGGAGGGGAAAACAAUAUUCAGGACUCUCUAACACUAGAUUUAGGAUUUAAACAUGGGAGUUCCCAUCCUGGCUCAGCAGUUGACGAACCCGACUAGCAUCCAUGAGGACAUGGGUUCGAUCCCUGGCCUCAAUCAGUGGGUUAAGGAUCCGUUGCUGUGAGCUGUGGUUUAGGUCGCAGACAGGGCUUUGAUCUGGCGUUGCUGUGGCUGCGGUGUAGGCCGGCAGCUAUAGCUCUGAUUGUACCUCUAGCCUGGGAACCUCCAUAUGCCGCGGAUGCGGCCCUAAAAAAAAAAAAAAAAAAAAA
rnacentral:lncRNA from 9 species